rnacentral:rRNA from 1 species
UACGUAGGGGGCAAGCGUUAUCCGGAUUUACUGGGUGUAAAGGGAGCGUAGGCGGCCAUGUAAGUCAGAAGUGAAAGCCCGGGGCUCAACCCCGGGACUGCUUUUGAGACUGUGUGGCUGGAGUGUCGGAGGGGUAAGUGGAAUUCCUAGUGUAGCGGUGAAAUGCGUAGAUAUUAGGAGGAACACCAGUGGCGAAGGCGGCUUACUGGACGAUCACUGACGCUGAGGCACGAAAGCGUGGGGAGCGAACAGG